UAGAUCAGAUAAGGAUGUGCGUUCAAACAAAUCAGAUCUGGACGGAAUCCCCUUUCUCUUUCUCUCUCCUCUCGCUCACGUCCCGAUGCAAUAACUGGAUCGAUGGUAGUACCAAAAGAGACCGAGAAAACAACCGUAUUUGGUUAUACGCACCGCCGGUUGGAUUGGAGGCAUGCAUGGACGUUUGGAGUCUAGGUGUGUCAACUACACAUUGUACGACAAAAUGAUCAUGGUCGUCGGCAUCAGAAGAUGGAAGAUGGAGAUUUCCUCGGCAACAACCAAGUACGGCGGCGCACGGCGAACUUGUGACUGCACCGGCAUGAGAAUUACAUAUGAAGGAUGGGGUUCCUGCUUCAGUGCGGCGGGACGACGAGGUUUUACGCGGCCACACGGCGAUGACAGCUGGAACCAUGUUACUCGCACAACUCCAGAGAUGAAUACAUGAUCAUGCAUGUCUGGCGGACGCCCAUGAUGCAUGUCUGGCAUCACGUUUGCAUGCAUCAUGUACGCACUACAUCGGGUACUUCAUACCAGAUGAAUCAAUUAAUAGUAUAUAAAUAAAGUUGCUCUUUUUUUUAAACAAAGUAUGUAAUAUUUCAUAGCUUUUUUUAGAACGGAUUGGCACACUGUCGCCAACCUAUAC